rnacentral:misc_RNA from 1 species
AAGUCGUAACAAGGUUUCCGUAGGUGAACCUGCGGAAGGAUCAUUAUUAAAUAUGAAACUGGCGUUUGCAUUGACGCAACGUGGCCAGUCUAAAUAAACGCAUAAACAGGAUCCGGUGUUGGCAUGCUACCUUGCGAGUCACGUGGUUCACACACCUGGAACGGUUGUAGUGCGUCCUUAAAGCAGACCGCAUGCCAGAUCGGUUGGAGAAGACCUGCGAAUAUUCUGCCUCUAUAAAAUGGGGAAUGAUAAUAGCUAGGAUCGCUGCUAUGUACACAUCACACAUUAAUGUCUGAAUCUUUUUGUUGUUCAUCUGAACUCCAAUAUGAAUUUUUUUAAACAACUUUUAACAACGGAUCUCUAGGCUCCU